GGGGACCCGCACAAGCGGUGGACGAUGUGGAUUAAUUCGAUGCAACGCGAAAAACCUUACCUACCUUUGACAUGUACGGAACCCGCCAGAGAUGGCUUGGUGCUCGAAAGAGAACCGUAACACAGGUGCUGCAUGGCUGUCGUCAGCUCGUGUCGUGAGAUGUUGGGUUAAGUCCCGCAACGAGCGCAACCCUUGUCAUUAGUUGCUACAUUUAGUUGGGCACUCUAAUGAGACUGCCGGUGACAAACCGGAGGAAGGUGGGGAUGACGUCAAGUCCUCAUGGCCCUUAUAGGUAGGGCUACACACGUCAUACAAUGGAUGGUACAAAGGGUCGCCAACCCGCGAGGGGGAGCCAAUCCCAUAAAGCCAUUCGUAGUCCGGAUCGCAGUCUGCAACUCGACUGCGUGAAGUCGGAAUCGCUAGUAAUCGCGGAUCAGAAUGUCGCGGUGAAUACGUUCCCGGGUCUUGUACACACCGCCCGUCACACCAUGGGAGCGGGUCUCGCCAGAAGUAGGUAGCCUAACCGCAAGGAGGGCGCUUACCACGGCGGGGUUCGUGACUGGGGUGAAGUCGUAACAAGGUAACCGUAAGGGC
rnacentral:rRNA from 1 species